GAUUAAGUAAACUUAACUCAUUUAAUUAAGUUUGUUAACCUUACUUAGUUUAACUAAGUAAUCCCAACUUUUUUCUAUGCAAACUCAAGUCAACUUGAUUAAACUUAACAGAUUAAUUUAGCUCAACUUAAAAUUUCAAGUAUUUUCAAAAAGGAUGACUGCACAGUAGGUGGCAGUAAUGAUCCCAAGGAGUAAGUGGUGGCUUAACUGAGUGGUUAACUGAAGAAGACGACAACAGCACAUGGUCGGAUAAGAGCAUGAGGAGCAGGAGCUUGUUUCUUUGAAGAGAGCGCAUACCCUUCAUGGAAAGUCAGUAACGUUACUGUGGAGUACAACCAAGUCGCAAGCAAAAGCCUCAAGCAAGAAUUGUUCUCAUCCCUUGCUAAACAUUGUUUUUGAAGAUUUUGAAUGAAAGAAAAGUUUAAAAGCUCUCUUGAGUAUCUAAUAAACAUCACUGAUGACAGUGCUCGGUGGACGGUAGUUCUCUGUGGUCUUGCUAUCCUUCUUGCAGAAGACACUACAGACUUCCUGAAAACAAACAUGGACUGUGAUGGUGACCCACCUCCACUAUCAAUAGGAAUUUUCAGUCUGGUGCCGGAGGACAGACACAUUUCUCCACAUGGUUUACAGCAAUUAUUUGGUAGGGUGUCACAGUCAUGAAUGGACUUGAGAAAGUAUCACAUGCCAUGUGUUUAGUUUUUGGACUGAUCGUUGUUUUAAAUAUGGAGUACCUCUUCACGGUUUAUUUUGAGUUGAUUCACAGGGUUUUUCUUUCCCUGGGGCACAAAUCACUACAGUAAAGUCAAAACUGCCAUCACUACAAAACAUACUAAUGUGAAGUAGUGUGUUUUGUGUGAAACAAGUCUGUGUUACUGUAGAUCUGUUGCAUUUUGGGGUUUUUAUUUUUCGUCAACCUGGAUACAAGUUCCAGAAAAACUCAACUUUAAUUGCUGCAAAACUUUGAUGUUUUAGUUAAGCUGUAUUUUGCGUGUUUCUGAUGGCAGAAACAAGAUUGUUACUGUAGGUCUGUUGAUGCAAUUUGUGAUUUUUUAUCAGUCACAUGACAACCUGGAUACAAAACCAAAACUGCAGUCACUAAAAAAAACUAGUUUUGAAUUUGUUUGUCAAGGUGUGUUCAUUGUGUUUGUAAUAACAGAAACAAGACUUAGGUCUAUUGUUGCAUUUUGGGUAUCCAGAUUGAUGGGUGACUGAACACAAACCCCUUUCUUGUGUGUGUGUGUGCGCGUGCGUGUGACAAAAAUGUUUUACUUUGUACACUGUUAACAUGUUUAAAAUAAACGUUUUAACCUCAUUUUGUUGCUUUUUGGCUUUACUCAUUUUUGUUAGUUCAGCUUACUUACAAAUAUAAGGCAAUCAGUUUCCUUAUAUUUACAAGUAAAGUGAACAAUAAAAAGAAGUUAUCUCAACUAAUGAUUUUAAGUAAAGAGUACUUAACUUUACUUGAUUAAUAAGUUUAGUCUACUUGUACUGUUAAGUUUUGACAACUUAAAAUCAAUACUCUACCUUACUUGAUG